GACCCAUAUUACAGGCUGUUGGUUGGUCUAGAAGGGUGUAGUGAGGAAUUUGCUAUAUUUAGCUAGUUAGCUAGAGAUACAAUUAACCUGCAUUUAUUUUAAGAGUAACUACAUAGCUAGAAACGAUCACCAUGGAUGGUUGUGGGGAAGGCAGAGGGACCAACAGACUGAUGGUGGAAAAGCUAUCCUUGUCCUGUGAUAGACUGCUAUCUCACCUGCAGCUGGCCUGCUGUCCCUCUCACUGUGCCUCACCACUACAAGGCAAGGACCUGUUGAUACACUGUCUCCUGGACCCAGAGCUGAAGGCCCUGCGACUGACUGGUCACCAUGGAGACAUCUCUGCCAUGGUGUUUGGGACAGGUAGAGACCCUCUCCUGCUCUGCUCUGCCUCUGCAGAUUAUGUCAUAGUCUGGGACAUCCGGCGCUGCUACAGGAGAACUAGGGAGGGGGUAGUUGCAUCUGGUACAGUUAUUGGGACACUACUGGGCAAGGUAGUCCAUCUGUCAUUUUGUCCCUGUGAUGAGCGAGUGGCUGCGUGCUCAGGGGCGAAAGUAUACAUACUCAACUCCAAUAUAGAGGAAGUGUUGUCUGUUCUGGCUGGCCACCUGGGACCUUUGACAGCAGCUGAGUUCUGUCCAUGGAACAAAGACAUCCUGGUGUCCAUAUCAGAAGACCGCACGUUUAAGGUUUGGGGAUUAAAAAUGGAACAGAUUCUCUACCAGUCUGCUGUAUUGUCAGCAUCUCCACUACUCAGUGUAUUGUUCUUGGAGAAGAGCAGGCAGCUCGUCACUGGUGCUGCUGAUGGACAGGUGUGGAGCUUCACUCUUCCUGAGGACCACAGAUGUCAUUUGGUGACCAAAUUGGACCUUCACAAGGUGCAGCAACGACACCAAAGGCACCUGGACACAGUGGCACCACAGACUGGUGGUGUACUAGGAAUCACUCCAGACCCAGUGGAGACGGCAAAGCCAGUCCUCAGAAUUUGUGCUUAUGACAGGCGGCUGCCUGACAUCGAUCAUGGGCAGCAGAGCUGGGUCUGGAUGGGAAGCUCUGAUGGCCUCUACCUGGUUGACCUGGGCACCUCUGAGCUCCACAUGACACUACUUUUCAGAGACCACCCCAACUUGAGCAUCACCAUGGCUGGAUCAUGGGCCAUGUCCCAAGGACUGGAUAACAGUAUGAUCUUUGUGGUGACCUCUCUAUUUGAGGCCCUGGUGUCUGUAUUGGAGGUGAGACUGCUGGGGUCAGGGUCUGUGGACAACCUCUGUCAGCACCUGGAGGGGCUCUCCGUCAUGCCCAGUGCCCCUCUGAUUCCUGAAUCUCCUCUCAACGCUGAGUUGAAAAAGAAGGGUCCUAAACCUCCCACAAAAACAGGGAAACGUGGUGUGAAGGAGCAGCCUCUAGUUUUCCACACACAGGUCAAGUCAUCAGGAUACACACAAUCCCCCCGAAUGACAAUGUUCUCACCCAAGACCAAUGUUCAGAAGAAGACCCCAGGACCUACAAAGACCAAAAGGAAGAUAGGAUGUCUCGUUAGUGAUUACCCAGGAGACACUGCAGCACCCAGUGUCCCACACACUAACCUCAGCACAGUCAAAACCCCUACACCAGUUUGCUGUGCCCAAUACUCAGGAGAUGGAAAGCAGAUUCUGUGUGGUCUGGGAGACAGAUCUGUAUUGUUGUACAAGUCCUCCCUCACUGGCACUCCAGCUGUUUACACAGGUCAUGACAAGGCAGUGAGUAGUGUGGCCUGGAGUCACAGCAGACAGUGGUGGCUGAGUGCCUCAGAAGACAGGACCCUCCGCAUCUGGCCCACUGGAAGUCCUGAGCCUGCCGUUACCAUGGGGGGUGAUGAGAAGUUCUCCAAAACCAUCCGGGGGGCUCAGUUCUACUACCUGGAUAAGUUCCUGUUACUGGCAUCUGGUCCCUCCCUACACCUCUACCUGUAUCACCUGGACAACACACAGGACGACAUUAAAAGGUACCAGCAGAGGAGUGCCAUCAAACUGACAAGAUGUUUAGAGACAAAGUCAGGAACAGACAUCACUGCUGUGUCAGUCAUCAACGACUUCUACUCUUACAUAGUGCUGGUGAGUGGUGCUGACCGCUCCAUCCAGGUGCUGGAUAUGAACACAGGGACAGUGGCCUCACAGCUCCCUGAUGCCCACAGCAGAGCUGUCCAUCACAUCACACAGAACAAGGGCUCUAUGUUCAGUAGUCAGACUCCAGACUCCUACAACCUCUUCCUGACCAGCGCAGUGACUGACGGAGUUAAGCUGUGGGACCUGAGGACACUCAGGUGUGUGCGGCGGUAUGAGAACCACUUGAAUCGCUGUCAUCCCUGCACCGCAGCCUUUUCACCCUGUGGACGAUUCAUUGCUUCUGGCUCUGAAGACAACUGUGCCUAUGUGUAUGACAUCCGCAGCAGCAGCUACCUCCACAAGCUCCAGAGACACUCAGACACCAUCCUCAAUGUGACCUUUAACCCUGCUACACCUGAGACUUCCUCUCCUAUCAAUUGGAUAUUGGACACCGCUUUAGAGGGAGGCCCAGCAUACAAAAACACACUGUGAUUUCUGCUGCUGUGUUGGAUUCCAUGGAGAACCCCUGGGAUUACAGACCUGGGUUCAAAUGAUGCUGCUGACCGGGACUCUGGACGGGAGGCUGAGUCUGUUCCGCCCUGGCAACGCCGCCAUCAGCGUCGCCCUGUCAUGACAACAGGGGCUGGUUCCCAUUACGACAGGCAAGCGCAUUCAAACAUUUGAAAGAAAGCAAAUGCUAUAUGAACCCAGGUCUGGACCUGACGAUGACGCUUGUGUUAUUUACACCAUACUGUAAUGGGGACCAACGGGCCUCGUUAGCUAGAGAGCUUCCUUUUAUCCGAUUGGCUGUGAUCUCACAGUGAGGCUUUAGAGAGGGAUGGAUGCCAGGGCCUGGAGAAUACAGCAGCAUUACUGAGACCCAGGGGCCACAGUGACAUCACCAUCUGACUGCACCACUCAGCAGCCUGCGAGUCUGACACGCAGACGUUACUACAUACUAACACACCCAUCCACAUGCACAGAUGUAUUUACAUUAGAAUGGACACACACACACACACACACACACACACACACACACACACACACACACACACACACACACACACACACACACACACACACACACACACACACACAGACCUAGACAGAAAGAAAAGACUGGUAUGUUCAGUACAGUACCAUAUAUCAUCUAUAUCCUAACAGUACAGUAGGUGAAAUUUGAAUAUUCAAGAUUAAACUGAUUUGAAUGCAUACAGAAUGCUUAACUGUUUUUGUGCUUCUUACUGUCCUUCUCCGUUCCACACUAGCAGUAGCUGUACAAUGAUUUCUUCCAUAGUUCUGGAAAUUAGGCCUACUGCUCAGAUAACAUAUUUCUCCCUGUUGCUGAUGGUUUGAACAUACACUUAGUGUAUAAAACGUUAGGAACGUCUUUCCAUGACAUAGACUGACCAGGUGAAUCCAGGUGAAGGAUAUGAUCCCUUAUCGAUGUCACUUGCAACUCAAUAUAAGGAAGGUGUUCAUAAUGUUUGGUAUACUCAGUGUAUGGGGAAUGUACUGUCCUCUACUGUCUGGAUGUAACAAUAUGUAUGGUGGAGACAGUCAGGGUACUGUAGACCAGAGGACAUCCGCUAGUGUUUUUGGCCAUUAAGAGGGAACCAAUAUGGCAUCUCAGUUUUUUUAUAGACUUUUUAAGGAUUAGGCAAAAGAUCAAUAGUCAGGUCUCGGUUCCUGUCAAGCCAAGUUAGUUUCAGUAACUUGUAGGGAAAGGAGAAGUCGUGGUGGAACUCAACAUCGAUGUGAGGAUAACAGUUGAAGAGGAAGGAAACAUCUGGGAAGGGGGCCAGAGGGGCCCACCUCAACGACGCACUUGCUGUAGCGUUAUCUCCCACACACACACACAUACCCACACACAAAGGUUCUGGACUCAAGCUGGGCCAUGACAAUCACAACGAAGAGGAACAGACCUAGUUUCUGCCCAGCAACAAAAACUGACUGAUUGUUUAUCUUAACAUACAAGGGGAGGAACUCUGCCUUGUCGAGGGGUGUAAAUAUAUGCUGUGUGACUUGUAUGUUAUGUUAUGCAUUCAGUCUGGGUGGAAUAAAUCUAGUCUAAGCUUC